AUGGCGGCGGCGGCGGCGCUUCCUGUAGCCAAGACGGCACCGGAUCUGCCAGAAAUGGAUCUGAUUAGCUCUCUCCCCGGUGAGAUCCUCAGCAUAAUCAUAUCCCUCCUCCCCAUAGGCUCCGCCGUGCGCACUACAUCCCUCUCCCGCCGCUGGCGCCCUCUAUGGCGCUCCUCCCCGCUCAACCUCGACAUCUCCCACAUCGACGGGUGCGGCCGCGACCGCGCCGCCGCCGUGUCCAAGAUCCUCUCCGACCACCCGGGCCCUGCACGCCGCUUCCUGACCGCCUGCCUCCAGAUCACCGACCCCGACGGCUGGCUCGGCUCCCCCGCCCUCCGAGACCUCCAGGAGAUCGACUUCUGGCUCCCUCGGUACGAAAUUCCGAUGCCACUGUCCAUUCUCCGCUUCGCGGCGACCCUGCGCGUGGCCCGCUUCGGCAAUUGCAGGUUCUUUGAGUACGACGCGCCACCGUCGUUUAACUUCCCUUGCCUUGAGAAGCUCACCAUGAGAUUUAUUUUCGUACGGGAAGACACCCUCCACUGCCUGCUCGAUGGCUGCCCUGUCCUCGAGAGCCUGCUGCUGGACAGGUGCCACGGCUUCUACUAUAUGGUCAUCAAUUCACUAACUCUUAAGAGAAUCGGCACAAAUGGCGGUCGGCAUGGCUGUCAACUAGUUAUAGAAAAUGCCCCCAGACUAGAAAAAUUGAUCAGGACUGACCUUCAUCCAGAGUCAACCAUCCGGCUAAUCAAGGCACCGAAACUUGAGAUCUUUGGCUUCAUGACAGACGACUUUACUAAACUCAAGCUUGGGUAUGAAAUUUCUCAGGGAAUGGUUGCUGGCAACUUGAAAGCUCUGAUGCGCAGCGUCAAGGUUUUGCAUCUCACGUCUAGUGGCCCUAAUCUUGAUGCAGCUAUAGCCUUCCUCAAAAUAUUUCCUUGCUUGGAGAAGCUCUACAUCACGUCAUGUCCAGGAAAUGAUAUGGAGAAUGUGCAUCACCUUCAACCACAAGAUCCUAUUGAAUGCCUCGAUCAUCUCAGAGAAGUAGAGUUGAAGUUUUAUGUUGGCAGCAGAUCGGAUGUCAACUUUGCCAAGUUCUUUCUCCUGAAUGGUAAAGUGCUCGAGUCAAUGAUAUUUGGUGUCAAGGACCAAUAUACUGAGGAAUGGGUAGCUAAUCAACACAGUCAGCUACAUGUUGAUAGCAGGCCUUCUCCAAAUGCUCAACUUGAAUUUACAGCUGCUGAUGGUGGCAACCUUUUGACCAUAUUCCGUUCUUGA
rnacentral:rRNA from 1 species